AAUCGUUCUACGAGAUGAACCACAGUCGUUCUACACUGUGGUUCAUCUCGUAGAACGACUGUGGUUCAUCUCGUAGAACGACU
rnacentral:pre_miRNA from 1 species